rnacentral:rRNA from 1 species
UACGGAGGGGGCUAGCGUUGUUCGGAAUUACUGGGCGUAAAGCGCACGUAGGCGGCUUUGUAAGUUAGAGGUGAAAGCCCAGGGCUUAACCCUGGAAUUGCCUUUAAGACUGCAUCGCUAGAAUCGUGGAGAGGUGAGUGGAAUUCCGAGUGUAGAGGUGAAAUUUGUAGAUAUUCGGAAGAACACCAGUGGCGAAGGCGACUCACUGGACACGUAUUGACGCUGAGGUGCGAAAGCGUGGGGAGCAAACAGG